rnacentral:rRNA from 1 species
GACGAACGCUGGCGGCGUGCUUAACACAUGCAAGUCGAACGAUGAAGCCCUUCGGGGUGGAUUAGUGGCGAACGGGUGAGUAACACGUGGGCAAUCUGCCCUUCACUCUGGGACAAGCCCUGGAAACGGGGUCUAAUACCGGAUAUGACACACGGCCGCAUGGUCUGUGUGUGGAAAGCUCCGGCGGUGAAGGAUGAGCCCGCGGCCUAUCAGCUUGUUGGUGGGGUGANGGCCUACCAAGGCGACGACGGGUAGCCGGCCUGAGAGGGCGACCGGCCACACUGGGACUGAGACACGGCCCAGACUCCUACGGGAGGCAGCAGUGGGGAAUAUUGCACAAUGGGCGAAAGCCUGAUGCAGCGACGCCGCGUGAGGGAUGAC